UGCACCUGAAUGCACCAAUGACGUGAGUUUGAUCUUUUGAUUGUGUUUCGUUUGGAUUUGAAGAAGCUUUGAAGACGUUUCCUGAAGCCGGAGGAGAAAAUGAGCAGCUUUGUACCUUUGUGAGUGAAAGUAGCAGUUCCUCCUUAAGGUCAGAGAUUGCAGCAUCUGAGGGCCUCUUCAAAAGAAGACGUAGUUGAUGAAGAUGUUCUGGAGCAGAAAGACCACGACCAAGCAGCUUGGAGAUCUUAGGCAGCGUCUCCCUCAGGUCCCUCUCUAUCUCCCCACACAUCCACCAACCACUGGAACACAUCUCCAAAGUUCUACCGGGCCAGCUCAGCUUCCCCUCAGAAGAAGUGCUGCCAGAUGGAGGAGCCUUUUGAGAGGCAGCUGGCAUCGUGAUUGGAAUGUACUUUGGUUUGAUCCAAUCCGGCUUCAGCUCCAGAGACAGCAGGCGGGACGAAGCAAUGGAGGCCAGGUGGACAAAGACAUGCAGCUGAGUACAAUCCAGAAAACAGCAGAGGAGGAAACAAACAGAGUAGCAUAGUAUGUCUCUGAGAAAACAUCAUAGUAUAGCCUUUGGUAUGAAAAAAACGCCAUCAUAUACAUUGUAUAUUGUACAAAUAGCAAGUCAAAGGAAAGACACGUACAUUGUAGAAUUGUAGUAAUUGUGGGAUGACUGAUUUACUGAUUAUCAGUAUUUUAGUUUUUACUGAUUUAUGGUAAUAAAUACAUUAAAAAUGGCGCUACUUUGGCUCUAAACUUUUAUCUACCUGUGGUCGCUCUGUCUUCUGGAGUGAUUUGAUUGGUUAUAUGUCACGAAUAAAACUCCUUUAACUUAACAUCUGUAAACAAAACAAAAGUGUAUCAACAAAGUUUUCUGUUAGAGUUUGUUUUCUUCUAAGUUUAACUCCAAGAUUUUAAAUACUUUCAUUUACUACAAAUGAAUAUCUCUUCCAAAUGCCUCGCUAAUAAUCAUUAUCAGCCUUAAAAACCCACAAAACACCCCUCUAUACUCGACCACACUUAGUACAGUCCGGUUCCCCCUUCUAUAAAUCUGCUUGGAAUCUUUCACUUCCUGUUUGUCAAAGUGGCCUUCUACCUGGUUUUGUUGGAGCUCAUGCAACAAACAUUUUGGGUAACUGCACUUUAAUAUGGAUGGAUGACACUGAAUGAGAGCAUGUUUUAAUGAGACUGAGUUCAGAUGUGUAGCUCUGUCAUUAAAUAGGAAAUUAUUUCUCAGAGAAAAGUCUGAAAUGUUUGCUAGGUUAGCGUCCCACAUGUUCUUUGGCUCAGCUAAAGCUAACCAUCUGCAACUUCUGGAUCUCUUGAGUUGCUUGUUGUUCAAAUAUCUUUCUAGAGGUGCUGAAGCUCAGAAAGUCUGAGAUGUAUUUUCAAAAUAAGCUCAUUCUCAAGUCUUCUCUGAACUGUCCUCUUUAGUUUGAACUUUCCCUAAACUUAGGAGUUAAUGACAGAGCAGCACAUCCAGACUCAGCCUCAUUUAUAUAGAGAUUAAACUUCAGUGUAAUUCAUUGAUGUUAAAGUGCAGUUUUUCACAUGCUCCCGACCAAACCAGUCCAGGUAGAAGACGAUGUGAAGAGAAGCUCCAGAGGAUGAACAUCACACAUUUACGUUGGAAAUAAAUGUCCUUUAAUUAGACAUUGUCAUGCAAAAGUUGGAUUUCCCUUUAAUGUUCAAAUCUUUGUUGAUGUUGGUUUCUAAAUGUUUUUUGACACUCGGGCCCCAAAGAUUAAAACCUUCUAUGGCUCACAAGCUGCAAGAAUUCACACAUUAUCAACUAUCUUUCUGACGAAACUAAGAUAAAAAGUGAAGAACUGUCUGAUUCCUGCAUCAUGAAUGUAAAUCUUUUUGGUUUUUAUGACAGUAAACUGAAUAUAUUUAGGUUUGACAUUUUAUAAACCGAAACAAGAAAUGAAUUACUGGAGAAAACAAGCAACAGAUUAAUGGACAAAGAAAAUGUGUUUUCCAACAUAUAUGGCUGAAUUACUCCAACAUUACAAGAUACAUACAAUUUAAGUUCAAUUUUAUUUAUAGAACGCCAGUUACAGGUCAAAUUGUCUCAAGACUCUUUAUUUUUAUAUUUUUUGUAAUAUUUAAAAUAUGACAAAGUAAGAAAUUUAAACCUCUUGACUAAUGGACAAUUAAAAUAACUUUCUCCACUAAAACUAAUAAACAUGAGGUCAAAUAGAAGGAACAGUUUUAAAUCCUGCUGUCCACACCCAUCAGGAGCAAUUAGGAGUUAGGUGUCUUGUUUAGGGACACCUCGACAUGAGCACGACGGGCCGGGAGAUCGAACCGGCCACUCUACCCACUGAGCUAUGCUGUUUGAUAUUCUU